rnacentral:tRNA from 1 species
GGAGGGGUAUCGAAGCGGUCAUAACGGGACUGACUCGAAAUCAGUUUGGGGGCAACCUCACGCGGGUUCGAAUCCCGCCCCCUCCGCCA